rnacentral:rRNA from 1 species
UACGGGGGAGGCAAGCGUUGUUCGGAUUUACUGGGCGUAAAGGGCGCGUAGGCGGCCACCGCAAGUCAGUUGUGAAAUCUCUGGGCUUAACCCAGAACGGUCAGCUGAUACUGCGGGGCUAGAGUGCAGAAGGGGCAACUGGAAUUCUCGGUGUAGCGGUGAAAUGCGUAGAUAUCGAGAGGAACACCUGCGGCGAAGGCGGGUUGCUGGGCUGACACUGACGCUGACAGCGCGAAAGCGUGGGGAGCAAACAGG